rnacentral:tRNA from 4 species
GGAGAGGUGCCAGAGUGGUAAUGGAGCAGAUUGCUAAUCUGUCGACGGGCAACCGUCGCCAGGGUUCGAGUCCCUGUCUCUCCGCAA